rnacentral:snRNA from 1 species
AAUUAUACAAAGCACUCCAGGUGUGCUGACCACUGCAAUUUCCCCAAAUGUGGGAAACUCGACUGCAUGGUUUGUGGUAGUGGGGGAUUGUGUUCGCACUCUCCCCUG